rnacentral:rRNA from 1 species
AGAGUUUGAUCCUGGCUCAGAUUGAACGCUGGCGGAAUGCUUUACACAUGCAAGUCGAACGGCAGCACGGGAGCUUGCUCCUGGUGGCGAGUGGCGAACGGGUGAGUAAUGCAUCGGAACGUACCGAGUAAUGGGGGAUAACGCAUCGAAAGGUGUGCUAAUACCGCAUACGCCCUGAGGGGGAAAGUGGGGGAUUCGCAAGGACCUCACGUUAUUCGAGCGGCCGAUGCCUGAUUAGCUAGUUGGUGAGGUAAAGGCUCACCAAGGCGACGAUCAGUAGCUGGUCUGAGAGGAUGAUCAGCCACACUGGAACUGAGACACGGUCCAGACUCCUACGGGAGGCAGCAGUGGGGAAUUUUGGACAAUGGGCGCAAGCCUGAUCCAGCCAUUCCGCGUGAGUGAAGAAGGCCUUCGGGUUGUAAAGCUCUUUCGGCAGGGAAGAAAUCGCGAGGGGUAAUAUCCCUCGCGGAUGACGGUACCUGAAGAAGAAGCACCGGCUAACUACGUGCCAGCAGCCGCGGUAAUAC